rnacentral:ncRNA from 1 species
CGGUUGGGAGGGCUGCGGUUUCGCGGUCCGUUGGGGCUCUAAGCCUCACUCAGCUG